AAGUCGUACGCUUCUUUUUCCCCGGAGCUUGCUCCACCGGAAAAAGAAGAGUGGCGAACGGGUGAGUAACACGUGGGUAACCUGCCCAUCAGAAGGGGAUAACACUUGGAAACAGGUGCUAAUACCGUAUAACAAUCGAAACCGCAUGGUUUUGAUUUGAAAGGCGCUUUCGGGUGUCGCUGAUGGAUGGACCCGCGGUGCAUUAGCUAGUUGGUGAGGUAACGGCUCACCAAGGCCACGAUGCAUAGCCGACCUGAGAGGGUGAUCGGCCACAUUGGGACUGAGACACGGCCCAAACUCCUACGGGAGGCAGCAGUAGGGAAUCUUCGGCAAUGGACGAAAGUCUGACCGAGCAACGCCGCGUGAGUGAAGAAGGUUUUCGGAUCGUAAAACUCUGUUGUUAGAGAAGAACAAGGAUGAGAGUAACUGUUCAUCCCUUGACGGUAUCUAACCAGAAAGCCACGGCUAACUACGUGCCAGCAGCCGCGGUAAUACGUAGGUGGCAAGCGUUGUCCGGAUUUAUUGGGCGUAAAGCGAGCGCAGGCGGUUUCUUAAGUCUGAUGUGAAAGCCCCCGGCUCAACCGGGGAGGGUCAUUGGAAACUGGGAGACUUGAGUGCAGAAGAGGAGAGUGGAAUUCCAUGUGUAGCGGUGAAAUGCGUAGAUAUAUGGAGGAACACCAGUGGCGAAGGCGGCUCUCUGGUCUGUAACUGACGCUGAGGCUCGAAAGCGUGGGGAGCAAACAGGAUUAGAUACCCUGGUAGUCCACGCCGUAAACGAUGAGUGCUAAGUGUUGGAGGGUUUCCGCCCUUCAGUGCUGCAGCUAACGCAUUAAGCACUCCGCCUGGGGAGUACGACCGCAAGGUUGAAACUCAAAGGAAUUGACGGGGGCCCGCACAAGCGGUGGAGCAUGUGGUUUAAUUCGAAGCAACGCGAAGAACCUUACCAGGUCUUGACAUCCUUUGACCACUCUAGAGAUAGAGCUUCCCCUUCGGGGGCAAAGUGACAGGUGGUGCAUGGUUGUCGUCAGCUCGUGUCGUGAGAUGUUGGGUUAAGUCCCGCAACGAGCGCAACCCUUAUUGUUAGUUGCCAUCAUUCAGUUGGGCACUCUAGCAAGACUGCCGGUGACAAACCGGAGGAAGGUGGGGAUGACGUCAAAUCAUCAUGCCCCUUAUGACCUGGGCUACACACGUGCUACAAUGGGAAGUACAACGAGUCGCGAAGUCGCGAGGCUAAGCUAAUCUCUUAAAGCUUCUCUCAGUUCGGAUUGUAGGCUGCAACUCGCCUACAUGAAGCCGGAAUCGCUAGUAAUCGCGGAUCAGCACGCCGCGGUGAAUACGUUCCCGGGCCUUGUACACACCGCCCGUCACACCACGAGAGUUUGUAACACCCGAAGUCGGUGAG
rnacentral:rRNA from 1 species